rnacentral:rRNA from 1 species
GAGCGCACUCUUCGGAGUGAGCGGCGGACGGGUUAGUAACGCGUGGGAACGUGCCCUUUUCUGCGGAAUAGCCUCUGGAAACGGAGAGUAAUACCGCAUACGCCCUUCGGGGGAAAGAUUUAUCGGUGACGGAUUAGCCCGCGUUAGAUUAGAUAGUUGGUGGGGUAAUGGCCUACCAAGUCUACGAUCUAUAGCUGGUUUUAGAGGAUGAUCAGCAACACUGGGACUGAGACACGGCCCAGACUCCUACGGGAGGCAGCAGUGGGGAAUCUUGGACAAUGGGCGCAAGCCUGAUCCAGCCAUGCCGCGUGAGUGAUGAAGGCCUUAGGGUCGUAAAGCUCUUUCGCCAGGGAUGAUAAUGACAGUACCUGGUAAAGAAACCCCGGCUAACUCCGUGCCAGCAGCCGCGGUAAUACGGAGGGGGUUAGCGUUGUUCGGAAUUACUGGGCGUAAAGCGCGCGUAGGCGGAUUAGUCAGUUAGAGGUGAAAUCCCGGGGCUCAACCCCGGAACUGCCUUUAAUACUGCUAGUCUUGAGUUCGAGAGAGGUGAGUGGAAUUCCGAGUGUAGAGGUGAAAUUCGUAGAUAUUCGGAGGAACACCAGUGGCGAAGGCGGCUCACUGGCUC